CCGAAAUUCAUCCGAAUUGAUAUUUGGAACGAAACGAAUUGCACAUGUCUAGCUGAUACCCACAUAGGCACAGUAAGCAAGGGCAAGGGGGACAAAGUCUGGAUUAACAUUUUGACUAAGGGAGACCCUAGUCAUAUGCAAAUUAGUCAAAACAUUUUUUAAAUAAAAUAAAAUAAUAAAAUAGUAGUUCUUAAAGCGGCACUUUCACCAUCUGGGGACUUUUCAGAACUCCCAAAGACCCCAACAGUGACAUUAAAGCAGUGGGUCCUGUGGGUCUGAUUCCUACUGCCUGGGUGCAUGUACUCCGUGUCCAUCGGCCAGGGCUGGUUUCCUAAUGAUGAAG